AAGAAGCUGAAAAGCCUUGAAAACCGAAGCUUAGCAUGUUCGUAGGACUGAACAUCUUUAUAAAAUUUGAGAGAUACCCAUUUCCCAGGAUUCUGAAACAGAUAAUGGGUCGUUCUUGGUUUCUCAAACUGAUUCUUCUUUCAAUGCUUUUGAUUCUCUCAUCCUCUCAAGGAUUCGGUAGAAUAUCGAUGGAGAAUGUUGAGCUUGAAGAAUCCGCUGCUCAAUCGGAGGAAAUUGCAGAUAGAUCAAGGGAGAUGAUUGAAAUGCUGGAUUAUAAAUUAGAACCAGAGCCAAAUACUAACCCCAGAACUGGUUACAUAUUUUGCCCUCCUCCACAACCCUAGUUGAGU